rnacentral:rRNA from 1 species
UUAGAGUUUGAUCCUGGCUCAGGAUGCCUCUGGCGGCGUGCUUAACACAUGCAAGUCGAACGAAACACCUUAUUUGAUUUUCUUCGGAACUGAAGAUUUGGUGAUUGAGUGGCGGACGGGUGAGUAACGCGUGGGUAACCUACCCUGUACAGGGGGAUAACAGUCAGAAAUGACUGCUAAUACCGCAUAAGACCACAGCACCGCAUGGUGCAGGGGUAAAAACUCCGGUGGUACAGGAUGGACCCGCGUCUGAUUAGCUGGUUGGUGAGGUAACGGCUCACCAAGGCGACGAUCAGUAGCCGGCUUGAGAGAGUGAACGGCCACAUUGGGACUGAGACACGGCCCAAACUCCUACGGGAGGCAGCAGUGGGGAAUCUUGCGCAAUGGGGGGAACCCUGACGCAGCGACGCCGCGUGCGGGACGGAGGCCUUCGGGUCGUAAACCGCUUUCAGCAGGGAAGAGUCAAGACUGUACCUGCAGAAGAAGCCCCGGCUAACUACGUGCCAGCAGCCGCGGUAAUACGUAGGGGGCGAGCGUUAUCCGGAUUCAUUGGGCGUAAAGCGCGCGUAGGCGGCCCGGCAGGCCGGGGGUCGAAGCGGGGGGCUCAACCCCCCGAAGCCCCCGGAACCUCCGCGGCUUGGGUCCGGUAGGGGAGGGUGGAACACCCGGUGUAGCGGUGGAAUGCGCAGAUAUCGGGUGGAACACCGGUGGCGAAGGCGGCCCUCUGGGCCGAGACCGACGCUGAGGCGCGAAAGCUGGGGGAGCGAACAGGAUUAGAUACCCUGGUAGUCCCAGCCGUAAACGAUGGACGCUAGGUGUGGGGGGGACGAUCCCCCCGUGCCGCAGCCAACGCAUUAAGCGUCCCGCCUGGGGAGUACGCUCGCAAGAGUGAAACUCAAAGGAAUUGACGGGGACCCGCACAAGUAGCGGAGCAUGUGGUUUAAUUCGAAGCAACGCGAAGAACCUUACCUAAGCUUGACAUCCUUUUGACCGAUGCCUAAUCGCAUCUUUCCCUUCGGGGACAGAAGUGACAGGUGGUGCAUGGUUGUCGUCAGCUCGUGUCGUGAGAUGUUGGGUUAAGUCCCGCAACGAGCGCAACCCUUGCCUUUAGUUGCCAUCAUUAAGUUGGGCACUCUAGAGGGACUGCCAGGGAUAACCUGGAGGAAGGUGGGGAUGACGUCAAAUCAUCAUGCCCCUUAUGCUUAGGGCUACACACGUGCUACAAUGGGUGGUACAGAGGGCAGCAAAGUCGUGAGGCCAAGCUAAUCCCUUAAAGCCAUUCUCAGUUCGGAUUGUAGGCUGAAACUCGCCUACAUGAAGCUGGAGUUACUAGUAAUCGCAGAUCAGAAUGCUGCGGUGAAUGCGUUCCCGGGUCUUGCACUCACCGCCCGUCA